UACGUAGGGUGCGAGCGUUAAUCGGAAUUACUGGGCGUAAAGCGUGCGCAGGCGGUUUGGUAAGUCAGAUGUGAAAUCCCCGGGCUCAACCUGGGAACUGCAUUUGAGACUGCCCGGCUAGAGUGUGUCAGAGGGGGGUAGAAUUCCACGUGUAGCAGUGAAAUGCGUAGAGAUGUGGAGGAAUACCGAUGGCGAAGGCAGCCCCCUGGGAUAACACUGACGCUCAGGCACGAAAGCGUGGGGAGCAAACAGG
rnacentral:rRNA from 1 species